UACAGAGGGGGCAAGCGUUGUUCGGAAUCACUGGGCUUAAAGGGCGCGUAGGCGGGCCAGCCAGUCUGUGGUGAAAGCCUCCAGCUUAACUGGAGAAGUGCCGUGGAUACUGCUGGCCUCGAGGAGGAUAGGGGCAUCUGGAACGGUCGGUGGAGCGGUGAAAUGCGUUGAUAUCGACCGGAACUCCGGUGGCGAAGGCGAGGUGCUGGGUCCUUUCUGACGCUGAUGGCGCGAAAGCCAGGGGAGCAA
rnacentral:rRNA from 1 species